UUAAUGGGAUCAGCAGUCCAAGGAGGAGAAGGAAACAGCAGGGGAGAAAUGGUACGGAAGCAGCAGCGGCAGACAGGAAGUGACACUGAGGAUGAGAAAAGGCACAUGUCUGUAUAUAUCUGUAUAUGAGAAUAUUUGCUUCAACCUUACACCCUUCCUUGUUUGCAGGAUCUGAAGCUUACCCUUUUCACCAUUGUGCCUUUUGAAGUUUCUCCUUCCCCCAGUUCUGCUAAAAAGUUCUCUUCAACCACUCCAUCUAGAAUCAACAACUUACAAUUCAGCCCAUUUCCAGUGCGAAAAGGCCAAGAAUAUGAGGAUAAUUCUUGGCUACUGCAGAAGGAAGAUUAUGCCUAGGACUAAGAUUCAUCCUAGUGUUCUUUUCUAUUUUUAUUGAUAAGCCUUUUUGAUGAAAGGGCAGGCCCAGGAAAUUGUGCUCUAGUUAAAGCCAGCAGAAAUAAUGUUUUAUAGACUUUCUAGCUAUGCAACAGUGUUUUAGCUGGUUUUUAUCAGUUAUAUAUCAGUGAAUUUCUAAAUACUUCAACUUGUCUACUUUCAGGUGUCCUUCCUCUACACAUCUCAAAUUUAAGGCCAGCUGUAUCUUCAUUUGAUCGGUUUCCAGCGGGAUCUUGCAAGAAUGCCUAUUUAAUCUUGCUUAUACUAACGAAAAUGGUGAAUUGUUCUCUUGGAUAUGGGAAGGUUCCAAAAUAAUGUUAAAGCAAGCUACAAUAAUUCAUUUGUUUGAUUUUGUGUGUGUCUGUGAAUAGCUUUUCUAGUAAGUAAUCGGGUCAUAUUUUACAGUUUUGUUAAGAAGAUGGAAACGUUUAUUUAAAGUCUUUCUUUUUUUUAACAUAUCUCAUAACACUGGAAUGGUCCUGUAAAAAGUUCAUAGUAUUGUUAAUUUGUAGAGUUGAACAGACCAAGUAUAUCUACCCUAUGGAGAAAUUAAAUGGGUGGUUUCCAAUAUCAGCCAUUCUCAGAGUAAACCUAUAAAAAUAAAUGGAUAUAAGUAAUGUAAGACCAUUGAUAUUCAUGGUUGUACUCUACCUGUGACACAUGUUGGAUACCACCCCCUCCUUUUGCACAUUUUCUAUACAAUUAAGAAGAACUAUUGUCUCCCUGCUUAUUUAACUUAUAUGCAGAAUUCAUCAUGUGAAAGGCUGGGCUGGAUGAAUCCCUAGCCGGAAUUAAGAUUGCUGGAAGAAAUAUCAACAACCUCAGAUAUGCAGAUGACACAACCUUGAUGGCAGAAAGUGAGGAGGA